rnacentral:rRNA from 1 species
UAUUCGUCAAUGGGGGAAACCCUGAACGAGCAAUGCCGCGUGAGUGAUGAAGGCCCUAUGGGUUGUAAAACUCUGUUAUUUGGGAAGAAAGGCUAGUAUAGGAAAUGAUGCUAGUUUGACGGUACCUUAUCAGAAAGCCCCGGCUAACUACGUGCCAGCAGCCGCGGUAAUACGUAGGGGGCGAGCGUUAUCCGGAUUUAUUGGGCGUAAAGCGUGUGUAGGCGGUUUGUUAAGUAUAAGAUUAAAGCCCGGGGCUCAACUCCGGUUCAUCUUAUAAACUGGCAGACUUGGGUGUGGUAGAGGCAAGUGGAAUUUCUAGUGUAGCGGUUAAAUGCGUAGAUAUUAGAAGGAACACCAGUGGCGAAGGCGGCUUGCUGGGCCAUUACUGACGCUGAGACACGAAAGCGUGGGGAGCA